rnacentral:misc_RNA from 1 species
GUAUUUGAUUGCGUUUUAAGGCAAUAUGAACAUUCUAUGACACAUUCAGAGUAUAUGAUACAUAAGCCCGAAGGCCUACGGUGGGUUCACAGGUGUGUUGUGGAUUUAAGGGCUCGGGCGUGCACAUGCCCCGAGAGGCCAGCUACAACCCUCACCUAUAAUUUCAAUAAUGAUCCUUCCGCAGGUUCACCUACGGAAA